rnacentral:rRNA from 1 species
UACGUAGGGGGCGAGCGUUGUCCGGAUUUAUUGGGCGUAAAGAGCGUGUAGGCGGCCAGGUAGGUCUGCUGUGAAAACUCGAGGCUCAACCUCGAGACGUCGGCGGAAACCAUCUGGCUAGAGUCCGGAAGAGGAGAGUGGAAUUCCUGGUGUAGCGGUGAAAUGCGCAGAUAUCAGGAAGAACACCCUUGGCGAAGGCGGCUCUCUGGGACGGUACUGACGCUGAGACGCGAAAGCGUGGGGAGCGAACAGG